rnacentral:rRNA from 1 species
ANCGGCAGGCUUAAUACAUGCAAGUCGUGGGGCAGCAUGGUGUAGCAAUACACUGAUGGUGACCGGCAAACGGGUGCGGAACACGUACGCAACCUUCCUUUAACUGGAGAAUAGCCCGGGGAAACCCGGAUUAAUACUCCGUAACAUUAUGAAGUGGCAUCACUUUAUAAUUAUAGCUCCGGCGGUUAAAGAUGGGCGUGCGCCUGAUUAGGUAGUUGGCGGGGUAACGGCCCACCAAGCCUACGAUCAGUAACUGGUGUGAGAGCACGACCAGUCACACGGGCACUGAGACACGGGCCCGACUCCUACGGGAGGCAGCAGUAAGGAAUAUUGGUCAAUGGACGCAAGUCUGAACCAGCCAUGCCGCGUGGAGGAUGAAGGUCCUCUGGAUUGUAAACUUCUUUUAUUUGGGAAGAAACCCACGAUUUCUAUUGUGGUUGACGGUACCAGAUGAAUAAGCACCGGCUAACUCCGUGCCAGCAGCCGCGGUAAUACGGAGGGUGCAAGCGUUAUCCGGAUUCACUGGGUUUAAAGGGUGCGUA